rnacentral:rRNA from 1 species
GGUAGGGAUACCCGCUGAACUUAAGCAUAUCAAUAGACGGGAAGGAA